rnacentral:rRNA from 1 species
AUUGAACGCUGGCGGCAUGCCUUACACAUGCAAGUCGAACGGUAACAGGUCUUCGGAUGCUGACGAGUGGCGAACGGGUGAGUAAUACAUCGGAACGUGCCCAGUCGUGGGGGAUAACGAAGCGAAAGCUUUGCUAAUACCGCAUACGAUCUACGGAUGAAAGCGGGGGAUCGCAAGACCUCGCGCGAUUGGAGCGGCCGAUGGCAGAUUAGGUAGUUGGUGGGGUAAAGGCUUACCAAGCCUACGAUCUGUAGCUGGUCUGAGAGGACGACCAGCCACACGGGGACUGAGACAGGGCCCAGACUCCUACGGGAGGCAGCAGUGGGGAAUUUUGGACAAUGGGCGCAAGCCUGAUCCAGCAAUGCCGCGUGCAGGAUGAAGGCCUUCGGGUUGUAAACUGCUUUUGUACGGAACGAAAAGCUCUGGGUUAAUACCCUGGGGUCAUGACGGUACCGUAAGAAUAAGCACCGGCUAACUACGUGCCAGCAGCCGCAGUUAA